rnacentral:rRNA from 1 species
GACGUAGGGGGCAAGCGUUGUCCGGAUUUACUGGGUGUAAAGGGUGUGUAGGCUGACGGGAAAGUCGGGGGUGAAAGCCAUUGACUCAAUCAAUGAAUUGCUUCCGAAACUUCUCGUCUUGAGGGCAGGAGAGGAAGAUGGAACUUCUGGUGUAGCGGUAGAAUGCGUAGAUAUCAGAAGGAACACCGAUAGCGAAGGCAGUCUUCUGGAAUGCACCUGACGCUGAAACACGAAAGCUAGGGGAGCAAACAGG